AGGUACGAAUAGUGAGAUUAUGGCACAUUCCAGACCGUGACAAACCAGACAACACCGUCUCCCUUGAAUUAAUUAUUCAAGACGAAAAGGGAGAUCAUAUUCAUGCGACUGUUGGUCGGUCUCUUAUACGUAUGUUCAAACCAAAGAUAAAAGAAUUGGGUUUGUACUUUAUGAAGAACUUUGUGGUUGGACCAAAUUAUACGAAACUUAAAUACACGCGGCAUAAAUUAAAGUUGGCAUUUACUCAUAAGACGAUUGUAGAGGAAGCAAAUGAUCAUCUUUUUGGUAUGGGUAUCUUCAACUUAAAACCUUAUGAGUAUUUAAUAAACAAAAUUGAUGUUGAAGAAAGUGAACUCUUCGAUGUCAUUGAAGAGGUUGUAAGUUAUGGUGAAGUAGAAUCACAUAACUAAGGUGAUAAGACCAACACUUAUAUGAAUGUGGAACUUGAAGAUCAUGAGUAAGAUUGCGUCUAUGAAUUUACUUUGUUAUAUAUUUUAACAUGAUUACUUAUCGGUGUCUGAUUAAGUUGUUAUAUAUUAACAUGAUUACUUAUCGGUGUCUGAUUAAGUUGUUAUAUAAAUUACACAAGAAGAAUAAUAUCUCGGCAACAUUUUGGGGAGAAUUCGUUGACCAAAUCUUGCUACAUUUAGAGGGAUCACCCCAUGAGCCGGUCAUAGUUGUUAUGCAGUUGAUAAAAGCUCACAAAUUUCAAGGCAAAUAUUCUGUGCGUAAUACUUGGCAUGCCUCAAAGCUCUAGAUUAACUCGGAUCUUCCUCAAAUUGUUGAUUUUAAGUUCAGAUUGGCAAGUGUGAAUGAAGCUAACUCUUCCAGGAUUAGUCAAAUACCUUAUCACCGUAGUUAUUCUGUUUCUGAUGAGUUAGCUACUGGAACUGUAGAAGUUAAAACUAUUAGAGAAUUGAUCGACUGCAUGAAGGAAGGACACAUUUGGAUUGUUGCGACUAUAGUGAAUCUUCUACUUGAAAAAGAAUGGUCAUAUUUGGGAUGCAAGAGAUGCUCGAAGAAGGUUGACAAAAUUGGAAGUAAAUUUCACUGCAAGAAAUGUGAUCGCCUUGGUGCAAGCUUCGAGUGCAAGUAAUGGAUCACACUGACUUUAUAUCUUUGUUGCUUUGGGAUCGUGAAGCAACAAGUCUCAUUGGGAAGUUUGCUAAUGAGUUAAAUGAAAUUUCAAUUGAGAUUCGACGCGCAUGGAGGCCGAUUCGAGGGGC